rnacentral:rRNA from 1 species
GAUGAACGCUGGCGGCGUGCUUAACACAUGCAAGUCGAGCGAGUGAGUUCUUCGGAACGAUCUAGCGGCGAACGGGUGAGGAACACGUGAGAAAUCUGCCUUCAACACUGGGAUAACUCCGGGAAACCGGGGCUAAUACCGGAUAUGAAACCUGCGGGCAUCCGCGGGUUUGGAAAGUUUUUCGGUUGAAGAUGAUCUCGCGGCCUAUCAGCUUGUGGGUGAGGUAAUGGCUCACCAAGGCGACGACAGGUAGCCGGCCUGAGAGGGCGACCGGCCACACUGGGACUGAGACACGGCCCAGACUCCUACGGGGGGCAGCAGUGGGGAAUAUUGGGCAAUGGAGGAAACUCUGACCCAGCGACGCCGCGUGCGGGAUGAAGGCCUUCGGGUUGUAAACCGCUUUCAGUAGGGACGAAGCGCAAGUGACGGUACCUACAGAAGAAGGACCGGCCAACUACGUGCCAGCAGCCGCCGUAA